UGCUUUGCUCUAAUUAUUAUUUGUAUUACAUUAUAUAUUUUUUCUUAGGCCUUGUUUAGUUCUGAAAAGAUUUUCUAUUUUGGUAUUGUAGCAUUUUCGUUUAUUUGUAGCAAAUAUUGUCCAAUUAUAAACUAACUAUGCUCAAAAGAUUUGUCUUGUAAAUUACAGACAAACUAUGUUAUUAGUUUUUGUUUUUUCUGUAUUUAGUGCUUCAUGCAUGUGCCACAAUAUGUAAAUGUGAUAUAAUAUUUGUUCCUUAUUUCUUCCUUCUUCCAGAUCGACGUCUCUCUAGCGUCGUUACCAAAGUCCCCGUCGAGUCUCCGCACCGACCGCCGUCUCUCCGCCGUCUCACCGCUUUCAAACUACAGGUAUGUCGAGAUGGAUCUAUUAGUGGUACAAUUAUCAGUGCUAUAAUUAGUGGUACAAUUAGUGGUUUAAAUUAGUGGUACAAUUAUGAUAUAUUUAAUUAUUAGCAGUAAACCCCAAACCCUUAGCCGUAUACUGUUGCAGAAAAUCCUAAGUUGUAAACCCUAGUUUUAUAUAUUGUUUCCUUGUCAGGUAUACACAGUAGUGCUAGUAGUCAUGUGUCACCAAUUUCUUAUAAAUCUAGAAUAUUGCCUCUGCUCAAAUUCAUAUAUAAUUAAUUAUUUUCAUGUAUAUUAUAGUACCAAUUUCUUAAUUAUUUUCACGUAAUAUAUAUACGGUGUUCUUUAAUGUAGUGAUGUUCUAUGGUGUAUUUAGUUUUUUUCACGUAAUAUAUAUUUGAUGUAUUUAGUGAUGUUCUAUAGUGUUCUGUGAUGUAUUUAGUGAUGUUCUAAGCCCUAAGCCCUAAACCCUAAACCCUAGUUUUAUAUAUUGUUUCCUUGUCAAGUAUACACGGUAGUGCUAGUAGUGAUGUGUCACAUAUUUCU
rnacentral:lncRNA from 1 species